rnacentral:rRNA from 1 species
CACGUAGGGGGCGAGCGUUGUCCGGAUUUAUUGGGCGUAAAGAGCUCGUAGGCGGUUUCGUAAGUCGGAUGUGAAAACUCCAGGCUCAACUUGGAGACGCCAUUCGAUACUGCGAUGACUUGAGUCCGGUAGGGGAGUGUGGAAUUCCUGGUGUAGCGGUGAAAUGCGCAGAUAUCAGGAGGAACACCGGCGGCGAAGGCGGCUCUCUGGGACGGUACUGACGCUGAGACGCGAAAGCGUGGGGAGCGAACAGG